GGGCCCAUAGCUCAAGGGUGGAGCAAUCGACUCAUAAUCGACAGGUUCCAGGUUCGAAUCCUGGUGGGCCCA
rnacentral:tRNA from 1 species